rnacentral:rRNA from 1 species
UACGUAGGGUGCGAGCGUUGUCCGGAAUUACUGGGCGUAAAGAGCUUGUAGGCGGUUCGUCGCGUCGAUCGUGAAAACCUACCGCUCAACGGUGGGCUUGCGGUCGAUACGGGCGGACUAGAGUACUUCAGGGGAGACUGGAAUUCCUGGUGUAGCGGUGAAAUGCGCAGAUAUCAGGAGGAACACCGGUGGCGAAGGCGGAUCUCUGGGCCGAUACUGACGCUGAGGAGCGAAAGCGUGGGGAGCGAACAGG